UUGUGUAGGCGGUUUGUUAAGUAAGAUGUGAAAGCGUGCGGCUCAACCGUAUAAACAUAUCUUAAACUGACAAACUAGAGGGCGAGAGAGGUUAUUGGAAUUUCUAGUGUAGGAGUGAAAUCCGUAGAUAUUAGAAGGAACACCGAUGGCGUAGGCAGAUAACUGGCUCGUUCCUGACGCUCAGACACGAAAGCGUGGGUAGCAAACG
rnacentral:rRNA from 1 species